CACCUUCGGGUGUGAAUUAGCGGCGAACGGGUGAGGAACACGUGAGAAAUCUGCCUUCAACACUGGGAUAACUCCGGGAAACCGGGGCUAAUACCGGAUAUGAAACCUGCGGGCAUCCGCGGGUUUGGAAAGUUUUUCGGUUGAAGAUGAUCUCGCGGCCUAUCAGCUUGUUGGUGAGGUAAUGGCUCACCAAGGCGACGACGGGUAGCCGGCCUGAGAGGGCGACCGGCCACACUGGGACUGAGACACGGCCCAGACUCCUACGGGAGGCAGCAGUGGGGAAUAUUGGGCAAUGGAGGAAACUCUGACCCAGCGACGCCGCGUGCGGGAUGAAGGCCUUCGGGUUGUAAACCGCUUUCAGCAGGGAAGAAGCGAAAGUGACGGUACCUGCAGAAGAAGCACCGGCUAACUAUGUGCCAGCAGCCGCGGUAAUACAUAGGGUGCAAGCGUUGUCCGGAAUUAUUGGGCGUAAAGAGCUCGUAGGUGGUUCGUCACGUCGGAUGUGAAACUCUGGGGCUUAACCCCAGACCUGCAUUCGAUACGGGCGAGCUUGAGUAUGGUAGGGGAGUCUGGAAUUCCUGGUGUAGCGGUGGAAUGCGCAGAUAUCAGGAGGAACACCAAUGGCGAAGGCAGGACUCUGGGCCAUUACUGACACUGAGGAGCGAAAGCGUGGGGAGCGAACAGGAUUAGAUACCCUGGUAGUCCACGCCGU
rnacentral:rRNA from 1 species